GACGAACGCUGGCGGCGUGCUUAACACAUGCAAGUCGAACGGAAAGGCCCUGCUUUUGUGGGGUGCUCGAGUGGCGAACGGGUGAGUAACACGUGAGUAACCUGCCCUUGACUUUGGGGUAACUUCAGGAAACUGGGGCUAAUACCGGAUAGGAGCUCCUGCUGCAUAGUGGGGGUUGGAAAGUUUCGGCGGUUGGGGAUGGACUCGCGGCUUAUCAGCUUGUUGGUGGGGUAGUGGCUUACCAGGGCUUUGACGGGUAGCCGGCCUGAGAGGGUGACCGGCCACAUGGGGACUGAGAUACGGCCCAGACUCCUACGGGAGGCAGCAGUGGGGAAUAUUGCACAAUGGGCGGAAGCCUGAUGCAGCAACGCCGCGUGCGGGAUGACGGCCUUCGGGUUGUAAACCGCUUUCGCCUGUGACGAAGCGUGAGUGACGGUAAUGGGUAAAGAAGCACCGGCUAACUACGUG
rnacentral:rRNA from 1 species